ensembl:lncRNA
UCCCCACAACUCCAGCGGCUCCAGUGUCAGUGUAUUUAAGGCACGUCAACACAUCCCCUCUCCAGCAAAGUACAGGAUUUCUUCGGCUGCUACAGAUUCUUCUAGACUACUAGAUACAAGUACAGCCAAUUAAGUCGCUAGAUGCUGGAGUUUAAGUCUUUGAAGAACAUUUUUUUUUUUGUUCUGAUGGAUCACGCCACAAGAUUCACCACUUUGGCUGGGAGGAGCCAGAAAAUGAAGGAUUUAAUGAGGGACUUAAGCCAUUUCGCCAUCAUUACUGCCUUCGACGACGAGACGCUGAAGUCCCUGUUCAAGAUUGGGGCUAUCUGCCACCAGCCUGUCGACCUCCCAGACACCACAGGACUGCAGUGGAGGGAAGCGAUCCUCCAGUGUCUGGAGAGCGUCCAGCCCUGAUUGCGAACGCUGCUUGACCCAGAGCCCAGCCCACUAUCACCCCGCUGUGCGGAGCAAGAUCCUGAGCCCACCGCUGACAUAGAGCCAGAACCCGCCGCGACCGAUGAGCCAUCGCCAAAGAAAGCGACAGUGCUGAGGAUCGCCCCGGAGCUAUAGCCCAAUAAGUCAGACCGCUGCGAGAGCCAGCUAUAGAGCUCAUCACGUGGGAGAGUGUCAUGGACAGUGAGAGCGUGGAGGGAAGCUCCGCCCACUGCACCAUGGCUGAGGGUGAGCCGAGCUCAGUGGACUCUAAUUGUGAUUUAUAUGCAGACAUGCCCCCUCUUCUCGUGACUUCAUCUGAACUAUCUGUCUGCCCUGAAAUAUCCGCCAGUGUUGAAACGACCAUGGAGGUUGUUCCCCUAUUGCUGGUGCUCCCGGUGCUGGGAGUGGCCUUGUGGUGUGUGUGUGUAGGCAGCACACACCUUUCCUAAACCCCCUGAACAUUCUGAACUCCCACCCAGCCUCCCUCUCCCACCUCCUUUAUAUCAGUCCUCACCAUCGCCACCACUGUCUCCUGGCAGCCACUCUGCUCACCCUCAGCCCACCAUCUGUGCGGUGGGAUCACCGUGGGUCUACCAUUUUCCAUUGACAUCGUGGCUGGAGGAUCCCUUGUCUCCGCCUCCAGCCUCUGAAUCCUGGACUCCACCUCGGCCCUUCGACCCAGUGACUCCACCGUGGCUCCUAGCUCCCUCCUCUCCGCCGUGGCCCAUCAGUCCACCAGCUCCAUAGGGGCUCCCUCGUCAUUCCGGCUCCACCUUGGUCUGUCGUAGACCAUCCACCCUCAUCAGCUCUCCUAUUUAAGUUAUGUUUAGUUCACUGUUUGCUGUCCGGUCUACUACGUCCCUACAUGUGCAUCCUGCCUGUCUGUCCUGUAUCUACCCUCUUGUGGAUUAUUAAAGACUAUUUGCAUUCAUCUUAAUCUUCUUCAUGCGUUUAUCUCACUGUAGCAUGUCUGUGUGUCAUCAAAAAUUUUGGUCCAUUUUCCUGGAAGAGUAAGACUGUACAUUUUAAAUGUGUUUAUAUGCUUAAGAGUACACCAGCAUAUAGAUGAUUUCAAACAGAC